AGCCCUUUUAAAUAGGGGUAUGAUUCUCGCUUCGGGUGCGAGAGGUCUCGGGUUCAAAUCCCGGACGAGCCC